UACAGAGGGGGCAAGCGUUGUUCGGAAUUACUGGGCGUAAAGGGCGCGUAGGCGGCCUGCUAAGUCGAACGUGAAAUCCCCGGGCUCAACCCGGGAACUGCGUCCGAUACUGGCAGGCUUGAAUCCGGGAGAGGGAUGUGGAAUUCCAGGUGUAGCGGUGAAAUGCGUAGAUAUCAGGAGGAACACCGGUGGCGAAGGCGGGUCUCUGGGCAGUAACUGACGCUGAGGAGCGAAAGCGUGGGUAGCGAACAGG
rnacentral:rRNA from 1 species